ACUCCUACGGGAGGCAGCAGUGGGGAAUAUUGCACAAUGGGGGAAACCCUGAUGCAGCCAUGCCGCGUGUGUGAAGAAGGCCUUCGGGUUGUAAAGCACUUUCAGCGAGGAGGAAAGGGUGUAAGUUAAUACCUUACAUCUGUGACGUUACUCGCAGAAGAAGCACCGGCUAACUCCGUGCCAGCAGCCGCGGUAAUACGGAGGGUGCGAGCGUUAAUCGGAAUUACUGGGCGUAAAGCGUGCGCAGGCGGUUUGUUAAGCGAGAUGUGAAAGCCCCGGGCUCAACCUGGGAACCGCAUUUCGAACUGGCAAACUAGAGUCUUGUAGAGGGGGGUAGAAUUCCAGGUGUAGCGGUGAAAUGCGUAGAGAUCUGGAGGAAUACCGGUGGCGAAGGCGGCCCCCUGGACAAAGACUGACGCUCAGGCACGAAAGCGUGGGGAGCAAACAGGAUUAGAUACCCUGGUAGGAUAG
rnacentral:rRNA from 1 species